GGGGAUCCUGGUGUCCAAGCACCCCAAGGAGACGAGCGCCUCCUUCUCCCUCCAGGAGCCCGCCGAGGUGAUGGAGUUCUUGCUGCGGCUCGUGGAGUGGAAUCGCCUGUCCAGGACACGGUUGAGGCUGUAACAAUUGAAUUUAACCGGCGAGGCUAGCUAGAGAGAAGCGCGUGAUCUGGGCCGUCCAAGCGAUUACAUCGGCAGGGUAACCCGUGACGCUGAUCGAUCGUGGAUUCUACACCAACACAGGUGCUCGA
rnacentral:misc_RNA from 1 species